UACAGAGGUCUCAAGCGUUGUUCGGAUUCAUUGGGCGUAAAGGGUGCGUAGGCGGCGCGGUAAGUCGGGUGUGAAAUCUCGGAGCUUAACUCCGAAACUGCAUUCGAUACUGCCGUGCUUGAGGACUGGAGAGGAGACUGGAAUUUACGGUGUAGCGGUGAAAUGCGUAGAUAUCGUAAGGAAGACCAAUGGCGAAGGCGGGUCUCUGGACAGUUCCUGACACUGAGGCACGAAGGCCAGGGGAGCAAACGGG
rnacentral:rRNA from 1 species